rnacentral:rRNA from 1 species
UACGUAGGGUGCGAGCGUUGUCCGGAAUUACUGGGCGUAAAGUGUGCGCAGGCGGCCGCGCAAGUCGAGUGUGAAAGCCCCGGGCUUAACUUGGGAAUUGCGCUCGAAACUACGUGGCUAGAGUGUGGCAGAGGGAGGUGGAAUUCCACGUGUAGCGGUGAAAUGCGUAGAGAUGUGGAGGAACACCGAUGGCGAAGGCAGCCUCCUGGGCCAACACUGACGCUCAUGCACGAAAGCGUGGGGAGCAAACAGG